CGGGGGGGGCAAGCGUUGUUCGGAAUUACUGGGCGUAAAGGGCUCGUAGGCGGCCAACUAAGUCAGACGUGAAAUCCCUCGGCUUAACCGGGGAACUGCGUCUGAUACUGGAUGGCUAGAGGUUGGGAGAGGGAUGCGGAAUUCCAGGUGUAGCGGUGAAAUGCGUAGAUAUCUGGAGGAACACCGGUGGCGAAGGCGGCAUCCUGGACCAAUUCUGACGCUGAGGAGCGAAAGCCAGGGGAGCAAACGGG
rnacentral:rRNA from 1 species